rnacentral:rRNA from 1 species
UACGGAGGGGACUAGCGUUGUUCGGAAUUACUGGGCGUAAAGCGCACGUAGGCGGAUUUGUAAGUCAGGGGUGAAAUCCCGGGGCUCAACCUCGGAACUGCCUUUGAUACUGCAAAUCUCGAGUCCGGAAGAGGUGAGUGGAAUUCCUAGUGUAGAGGUGAAAUUCGUAGAUAUUAGGAAGAACACCAGUGGCGAAGGCGGCUCACUGGACCGUUGUUGACGCUGAGGUGCGAAAGCGUGGGGAGCAAACAGG